rnacentral:rRNA from 1 species
AUUGAACGCUGGCGGCAGGCCUAACACAUGCAAGUCGAGCGAGCGGCGGACGGGUGAGUAAUGUCUGGGACACUGCCUGCUGGAGGGGGGUAACUCCUGGAAACGGUAGCGAAUACCGCAUACACUCUGAUGUGCCCAGAUGGGAUUAGCUAGUAGGGGGGGUAACGGCUCACCUCGGCGACGAUCCCUAGCGGGGCUGAGAGGAUGACCAGCCACACUGGAACUGAGACACGGUCCAGACUCCUACGUGAGGCAGCAGUGGGGAAUAUUGCACAAUGGGCGCAAGCCUGAUGCAGCCAUGCCGCGUGUGUGAAGAAGGCCUUCGGGUUGUAAAGCACUUUCAGCGGGGAGGCGUUACCCGCAGAAGAAGCACCGGCUAACUCCGUGCCAGCAGCCGCGGUAAUAC